GGGCGGGCGCGUCUGGGGCAUGAGCGGGGUGCGGGGCGCCGGGGGGCCUCGGUGCCAGGCGGCGCUCGCUGUCCUGGCCUCGCUGUGCCGGGCCCGGCCGCCCCCUCCCGGGCUAGACGUGGAGACUUGUCGGAGCUUCGAGCUACAGCCCCCGGAGCGCAGUCCGAGCGCGGCCGACGCAGGCACCUCUGUCAGCCUCCUCGCAGUCUUGGUUAUUGUGUGUGGUGUGGCCCUGGUGGCAGUUUUUCUCUUUCUCUUUUGGAAGCUGCGCUGGACGCCCUGGAGGAACAAGGAGGCCUCCAGCCCCUCUUCUGCUGACGCGCCCCCAGGAGCCUUCCAGAACCCCCGCUCCAGAGGCAAGAUGGCAGACAAGCUGAAGGACCCCCACUCCCUGGGCUUCCUGGAGGCGGCUGUGAAGAUCAGCCACACGUCCCCAGACAUCCCGGCCGAGGUGCAGAUGUCGGUCAGAGAGCACAUCUCGCGUCACACGCGGCUGCAGAGACAGACCACAGAGCCCACGUCAUCCACCAGGCACACGUCCUUCAAGCGCCACCUGCCCCGGCAGAUGCACGUCUCCAGCGUGGACUACGGCAACGAGCUGCCGCCUGCGGCGGAGCAGCCCACCAGCAUCGGCCGCAUCAAGCCCGAGCUGUAUAAGCAGAAGUCGGUGGACGGCGACGAUGCCAAAUCCGAGGCCGCCAAGAGCUGCGGGAAGAUCAACUUCAGCCUGCGCUACGACUACGAGACCGAGACCCUGAUCGUGCGCAUCCUGAAGGCCUUCGACCUCCCCGCCAAGGACUUUUGCGGCAGCUCUGACCCUUACGUCAAGAUCUACCUCCUGCCCGACCGCAAAUGCAAGCAGCAGACGCGGGUGCACCGCAAGACCCUGAACCCCACCUUCGACGAGAACUUCCACUUCCCGGUGCCCUACGAGGAGCUGGCGGACCGCAAGCUGCACCUCAGCGUCUUCGACUUCGACCGCUUCUCCCGCCACGACAUGAUCGGGGAGGUCAUCCUGGACAACCUCUUUGAGGCCUCCGACCUGUCCCGGGAGACCUCCAUCUGGAAGGACAUCCAGUACGCCACGAGUGAGAGCGUGGAUUUGGGAGAGAUCAUGUUCUCCCUCUGCUACCUGCCCACAGCGGGCAGGCUCACCCUCACGGUGAUCAAAUGCCGGAACCUCAAGGCGAUGGACAUCACAGGCUACUCAGACCCAUACGUCAAGGUGUCCCUGCUCUGUGACGGGCGGCGGCUGAAGAAGAAGAAAACCACCAUCAAGAAGAACACGCUCAACCCCGUCUACAACGAGGCCGUCAUCUUCGACAUCCCGCCGGAGAACAUGGACCAAGUCAGCCUGCUCAUCUCGGUCAUGGAUUAUGAUCGAGUGGGCCACAACGAGAUCAUUGGAGUCUGCCGGGUGGGCAUCAACGCCGAAGGCCUGGGCAGGGACCACUGGAACGAGAUGCUGGCAUACCCGCGGAAGCCCAUCGCCCACUGGCAUUCCUUGGUGGAGGUAAAGAAAUCAUUCAAAGAGGGGACCCCUCGGUUGUGAGUGCAUUCACGCGGAGGCUGCGAGCAGAGAGACUGCCACCCGGAGUUAGGAUGGCAGGGCCGCGCCGCCAGCUUCGACAGCGAGAGCACGUGUCCCUCUCCGAAGCCACCUCCGACGCCGUGAGCUGCACGGCCGAGCGACACAAACGGACUCGGCACCGUUCUUUCGCACCCGCCCAACCGUCUAAACACAGUGCCGCCAGCCGCUGGGCGGGGGCCGCGCGGCGCUCACGGCAGCCCUGCCUGCUCCCGUGUAGGUCAAGGCCGAGGUCCUUGUCCUGCGGUCAGGUCUGUCUUAGUCUUUUCUGUCUCCCCAGGUGAUGUUUUUUGUGGUUUUUGCUUUUUAUGGAUCUGCUGUCAAGAAGGGAAGGAAAGAAAAAAAAAGGAGGCAAAAACAAAGAGUGGAGAGCCCAGAAGUCGGCUCAAUGAACUGCCGUGUAAAAUAGUUGUCUUUGGGGGAAGGUGGUUUGAAUUGAAAUUUCCUGUCUCCACCAAGCCCUACCACCCUGAGGAAGGAAAUGGGGCGGAGCUAUGGCCGCCUUCUCCGGGGCCUGCAGGUGCAAGCCCGCGCACGCAAGGGUUCAGGAGCGAUGAUGACUCUUUGCAGCUGCUCGUUGUGGGACACAAGCCGCGAUGCGGACCCUGGUCCCGUGUUGAAACCACGAGUGCCCUGCGAUGUCCGAGAACCUCCAGCCGGCAUGCAGGGCUCCUGGCUCCCCUCCCCCAUGGACUUACUUCAUGAUUUGAAAAUGUCUCGAUUCCUCAUGGGAACGGAAUCACUUUCUUUAGAAAUGGUUCUGCUGAAACUAAAUGUGCCGUGCGUUUUCUUACACCCCCGGUUAAUGACCAUCUUUGUUUGAAAACAGGAUCUUUGGCCUAGAAAAUAACCUUCCUCGUCAAGGAGGUACGUGUGUUGUGGAAUGAAUUCUGCACCAUACACGGCUGUAUAACUCCAUGAACUAUCGAGCUGUUUAAAAUGCCUGCACAGAUCAAAGAAAAACCUAGACAAAAUGUCCUUUUCUGAGUGGGGCAUUUUGAAAUCCAAGUGAUAGUCGGAGCCCGUCUUCCUACGAAGAGUCUCCUCUCGCCUGAAACCAGGUCAGCUGCGGCCCCUUUCAGCCCCCGUGACUCCGGGACAGCAUUCAUCUCGCACUUCAGUUCCAUAAACUACUAAGUACUUCUGUGUUCCUUUGUUUGUUUCGGUGGUAAUGAAUGGUUAUUUUCUUUAGAUUUCUUCCUUAGGCCACAUUCAUUUUAGGAAACAGGUAUUUAAACUAUUCUGUGUUGUCACAGUACCUUUCUGUUGAGUUGGCAUUCCUGCCGACCCCCUGCGACCACGUUGCUUUGCCCAGACCAGGCGGUGCAGCCUCGGGCACGCAUGGAGGUGGGUUUCCACUGCGGCACGCGCUUCGUCAUUGCCCACCCCCAGAGCUGUGUGUGGGGCUGCCAAGGGGCAGGUCUGCCGAAGAACCCCUUCUUUCGACGACGGAAGGGCGAGAACGUAUGAGCUCUUCACACGCCUGUGUCUUAUUCUUUAUCUAUGUCACGUGCUUUGGGUGCCGCCACUCAAUAAAGCAACCCUCGUUUUAA